rnacentral:rRNA from 1 species
UAGAUCAUAAAUGCUGGAAUGCUUUAUGAUUGAAAGGUUUCGACCGCCUUAGGAUGGAUCUGCGGCCUAUCAGGUUGUAGUGGGUGUAAUGUACCUACUAGCCUACGACGGGUACGGGUUGUGGAAGCAAGAGCCCGGAGAUGGAUUCUGAGACAUGAAUCCAGGCCCUACGGGGCGCAGCAGGCGCGAAAACUUUACGAUGCGGGAAACCGUGAUAAGGGAACACUGAGUGCUAGCAUUUAUGUUAGCUGUCCACAUGUGUAAAUAGCAUGUGAUAGCAAGGGCUGGGCAAGACCGGUGCCAGCCGCCGAG